GUUGACCAUAUCAACAGUGGCCAGGUUAAGGAUGUAGGUCACAUAGGGGCUGCUCCAGACCUCUCAGACAACUGAAAAAGGACUAAUCUGCUUAUAGAUGGAGAGCUAACAGAAGUGGAGAGACAAAGACCUGUCCACGAGAAGUCUCAUGCCCCUUCCUUCACUCUGACACCUCCUUAACAUGCUCCUGAAAUGUCAGCAUCAUGAGACAUGAGCUACACAAUGAUGCAGUAUGGGAAUUAAGAGAAUCUGGAAUUGUGGAGCAGACUUCGCAAGGCUUCUCUGACCUCUGCCUCCCGCUCUGGGAUCUGUGAAACACACUGGGCUCUUCUUCUAGACCUCCCUUUUUGAAGCUCCUCCAAAGACCGUUUCAUCAUCUCUACUCAACAGUCUCCUCAGGAAAUUGCCUCUUCAGUAGGCAAAUGUCACUUGCCACAAACUUAUCUUUGGCAUGAGGAUAAGACAGUGCUAAGGUAGAACUGUCUGUACCUUCUUUGGGUUUACAUUGUGAUAACUGCAAGGAGAAAAAUAAAUUGGGCUGAGUGGAUAGAAAA
rnacentral:lncRNA from 1 species